AUAUAUAUAGUACAACAAUCAGAUUUCAACCAGCAGUACAUUUGAUCAGUACAAUAAUAGUGCAAACCGAACAAAAGUUUAUAUAUAUAUAUAUAUAUAGCUGCCAAGGCUAACAACUACAGAAAGAGAAGUGAAUAAAAUGCAUGGUGGUACAACAAAUCAAAGGAGGUUGGCGUCCUACAUUGUUCAUUACAACCUUGUUUUACAAGUAACUUUAGAUAAGAGACGCAUCAUCCAGAAGCUUACACAUAAAUAAGGGGAGCUUUGUGGAUCUCAUAGAAAGUAUCAAAAACAACCCAAGUCGAAAAAACAUCAUUGAGUGCAGCGUUGAUGAACUCCUUCAUGUGGUGUGUUUCCAGUUCGAGCUAAUUAAUGGAGAGGUCGUCAUCAGCACUGCACUCAAUCAUGUUUUUUUAAGGACAAUGGGAAACCAGCCAUAUGUCUCAAGAAGGUUGAGGCUGCAAGACUUGCUACUUUCCACAAUUAUGAGCAACUAUCAGAAGACCAGCUUGAUGCUAAUUUGGAGUUCCAUGAAAGAAGCUGUUGCCCUCUUUUAAUGAAACUAUGGUUAAAUUAUUACUCGUUUGUAUAUUAGAAAUUUAAACGAAAGAAUCAUCCUUGGUUCAAUAUAAUGUACAUGGUACAAAUUUAUACACAUGCCCGUUUGGACCGGAUAGAAAUAUGUCAGACCAGAUUACCAUUUUCAUGAUGACAUUUUCCCUCUUCAUGAAUACUGUAUUUAAACAGAAACAUCAUGGAUGAUCUUUCUGUAUUUACAUUUACAAGCCCAACACAAUACACCAGGCAGCGAGGAGGUAAAAACUAAUGGGCUUCUCUAAACAAAGAAUUGAAGAUUUCAGCCCAAAAUGAAGCUCACUCCUGAUUGUAAUCAUCCUCCAAACGACUUUAAUUGUGAAGCUAAUCUCCAAAUUAGACCCUAACUUUUUUUUUUAAAUCAUGAACAACAUCUUUUCUGUUAGUGCAGCUCUUUCUAGCUCUCAGACUUUGUGAAUUUUAUUGUUUUCAACAGAAUUUAAAUC